GAUGAACGCUGGCGGCGUGCCUAAUACAUGCAAGUCGAGCGAACGGACGAGAAGCUUGCCUCUCUGAUGUUAGCGGCGGACGGGUGAGUAAAACGUGGAUAACCUACCUAUAAGACUGGGAUAACUUCGGGAAACCGGAGCUAAUACCGGAUAAUAUUUUGAACCGCAUGGUUCAAAAGUGAAAGACGGUCUUGCUGUCACUUAUAGAUGGAUCCGCGCUGCAUUAGCUAGUUGGUAAGGUAACGGCUUACCAAGGCAACGAUGCAUAGCCGACCUGAGAGGGUGAUCGGCCACACUGGAACUGAGACACGGUCCAGACUCCUACGGGAGGCAGCAGUAGGGAAUCUUCCGCAAUGAGCGAAAGCCUGACGGAGCAACGCCGCGUGAGUGAUGAAGGUCUUCGGAUCGUAAAACUCUGUUAUUAGGGAAGAACAUAUGUGUAAGUAACUGUUCACAUCUUGACGGUACCUAAUCAGAAAGCCACGGCUAACUACGUG
rnacentral:rRNA from 1 species